ensembl:snRNA U6 U6 spliceosomal RNA
AUGCUUGCCUCAGUAGCACACAUACUUAAGUUGGAACAAUAGAUUGGCACGGCCUCUGUGAAAGAAUGACAUGCAAAUUUGUGAAGCAUUCCAUAUUUUU